rnacentral:lncRNA from 1 species
GAGCAUUCAGGUUUUUUUCUCUAAACUCACACUCACACACAUAAAGUGUUCUCUCUGAUUGUGGCUUGUUUGCAAGAAUCCUGCUUUCUUUGCUUGUGUUUCAAACAAACUGGUAUGUUCUUUAUUUAAGAUUUUUCCUCACCCUUAUGUGUUUAUUCCAUAGUUCAUUAUGUGUUUGCUCAACUGUUCACAUGCUGUAACUUUCUGCAAGCUUUGCCUCUUUCUUUGUUUCUGUUCUUAUAUGAAUCCCUACCUCUAAUUCCCUUUGUGUGGCAGAGCUGUGGUUCAAAAACAUGGAAAUACUUGGUAUUAUUGUCCAUGUAUAUGAACUGGACCAUCUAAGUCUUAAGCUCCUUCAAUUCCCAUUCCCCAUUAUCUUUCUAUAUAUGGUGAGUUAAGACUUUGUUCUGGAAGUGUCCUAAUCACUACCCCGGCCAUGCUCUAACCUUCAAUAGGUCCUUACUCUUAAUUGUUUGGCUGGAAGGUUGGUCAGGGGUGUGCCAGCCUACCAUAUGGCUGGGAUUGACGACUAUACUACCUUGGAUUCUCUAAUCCCCUCUAUUGCAACACAUGUUCCUAGAAACUAAGUUCUGUCCCCUUCUUAUGAGCCUUGCCUUGGUACCUAUGAGCUCCCUCUAAAAUUGGACAUUGGAAGGCUGGCCUUUCCAUACUGCACUUUAAUAUAGUUCUAAUUUAUAUCUGGGGUGUAAGCACUGUCUGGAGUUCUUUAAACUCAUUGGAACUUUGAAAUACCCUAGAUAAGAGAAGGCUUUGGAAAGCUUGUUCCCGGAAGUGGCUCAUCUCAUGUUGUUAGACAUUAAGUCUGAAUUAGGUUCCUUGGAUGUAGCUGUAAUUACUGAUGUAAUUUUUACUUCCCAUUCCAUUUAUUAGCUGUAAUAAUUUAUAAUAAACUCAUGGGAUUUAGUGAAGAAAGGAAGGUG